GAUGAAGAACGCAGCGAAAUGCGAUACGUAAUGUGAAUUGCAGAAUUCAGUGAAUCAUCGAAUCUUUGAACGCAUAUUGCGCUCUCUGGUAUUCCGGAGAGCAUGCUUGUUUGAGUAUCAGUAAACACCUCAACUCCCUUUCUUCUUGAAAUGGAGCUGGACUUGAGUGAUCCCAACGCUUUAUUCAUAAAGUGGCGGGUUACUUGAAAUGCAGGUGCAUCUGGACUUUUCUCUGAGCUAUAAGCAUAUCUAUUUAGUCUGCCUCAAAACAGAUUAUUACCUUUGCUGCAGCUAACAUAAAGGAGAUUAGUUCUUGUGCUGACUGAUGCAGGAUUCACAAAGACCGCUUCGGCUGUCUUUGUAAACUCGAUCUCAAAUCAAGUAAGACUACCCGCUGAACUUAAGCAUAUCAAUAAGCGGAGGA
rnacentral:misc_RNA from 1 species